rnacentral:rRNA from 1 species
UUGAAGGUUGGGUAACACUAACUGGAGGACCGAACCGACUAAUGUUGAAAAAUUAGCGGAUGACCUGUGGCUGGGGGUGAAAGGCCAAUCAAACCGGGAGAUAGCUGGUUCUCCCCGAAAGCUAUUUAGGUAGCGCCUCGUGAACUCAUCUCCGGGGGUAGAGCACUGUUUCGGCUAGGGGGCCAUCCCGGCUUACCAACCCGAUGCAAACUGCGAAUACCGGAGAAUGUUAUCACGGGAGACACACGGCGGGUGCUAACGUCCGUCGUGAAGAGGGAAACAACCCAGACCGCCAGCUAAGGUCCCAAAGUCAUGGUUAAGUGGGAAACGAUGUGGGAAGGCCCAGACAGCCAGGAUGUUGGCUUAGAAGCAGCCAUCAUUUAAAGAAAGCGUAAUAGCUCACUGGUCGAGUCGGCCUGCGCGGAAGAUGUAACGGGGCUAAACCAUGCAC